GAAAGCAGAGCAUGAGUCCAAGGAGCCAAGGGAAGACAGCAUCACAGAAGAGCAAGUAACCACAGUGCAGAAAAACCAGUUACGUAAAGUUCUGAGCAAUGCCCAGCGCCUCUAUAAACAAGCAGGUCCUUGGUGACCGCGACCGGAGACCUGUGUGGGGUGCCAGGUUGCAGGAAAUCGAAGAAUGAGUGGAGAACGAGGAAAAAGACAGCUGGAAACUCAGAGUCAUCCCUGAAGAUGGCCACAAGUCACCUCCUUUCUGAUGCCCUUUCCUCUCCACUUCCAGGGAAGAAGCAAGACAUGAAAGGAAGCUACUCCAGGCCUUCGUGGUCCAGGUACAUGACUGCAGGAGGUUGGAUACAUGGAGCUGAUGCUUCCAAACCUUUAAGCUCUGUCUGGUAGAAGUCAGAUAUGGACCUCAUGGGGCUAAAAGCAGAGCUGUAUUUGUUCCCUGAAGCUCCUAGGGAAGACUCUGGGUGCUCAUCUGCUUCUACAGGACGCCUGUAUCCUUGGCUUGAGGUUCCCGGCUUCCCUCUUGAAAGCCAGCAAUGGUUUUUUGAGACAGAGUCUGGCUAUGUAUCUAGUUCAGGCUGGCUGGCCUUGAACUCACAGCGAUCCUCCUACCUCAGCCUCCCAUGUGCUGCGAUCACAGCCAUGUGCCAGCACAUUCAACAGCCUAAUAUUUAAUUUUCUCAUGGGUAAUAUGGAAAGAAAAAUACCAACCUUUCAGACUUAUUGUGAGGAUAAGAUAAUAUGUAUAGGGUCUAGAAAAGGGACAUUUUCAAAUUCCCCUCCCCAUUUCCCAUUUUCCUUCUCCCGUAAGGGAAGAGUGGCUUUGACCAGGCCAUUUUCCCCAGUGUUCAGGGCCAUGUGGGCUGUGCGUGAACCAUGUACCUGGUGUAGCUCCUCUGGGGCCUUCUGUCCAUCUCCAGCUACCAGUGCCUGCUGUCAGAGUUGGAGAGAGGGAACAGCCAGACUUGGUUCACCUUGGUUCAGCUGGCAUCCGUUCUGGGUAGGCCUGGUCCGGGCCAUCCUGCUGGGGUCCAGUGCUGUCCCCUUUCCCAUGCACUCACCCCUGAGUCUCUCCUCUCUGCAGUCCUCUGUGAUGGUCAGAGGGAGGUAAUGGCCACAGGCUGAGGCAGAACUCAGGCCUUCGUGGGGUUCUUGACUUAAUGUGCUCUAAUUGGGUUCCAAACCAACCCUAACCUUCCACAUUGUUGAUACGAUAUUUUGGUUAUCUAUUGCUGUUUAAUAAAAGCCACUCUUAAAAAUAUUUUUUAAAAAAGGUCUCAUGAUAACGUGGAUUGGCCAGUGACGUCCUGCCGGUCGGUUCCGCUGCUCUCAUCUGGCUGUGUCACUCCACUGUCGCCGGACAUCUUAACUCAUGUCUUACCCCUUCUCAGCGGUGUGUGGAGGCCAGGCUCUCAGGGAUGCUGGCAAGGCCAGGCCUCUUGCUCUUACCACAUGGCCCAGGGCACCUCCCUCUCUGCUUGAAUUUCUCCAAAAAUGGUGGCUCAGAGUAUGAACGUGGAAGCUUCCAGGCCUUUCUAAGACUUAGGCCU